CCGUAGGAGUGGCAGUGUCUCAGUCCCAGUGUGGCUGACCAUCCUCUCAGACCAGCUACCCGUCAUAUCCUUGGUGAGGCGUCACCUCACCAACAAGCUGAUAGGACGUGGGCUCAUCCUCAAGCGCCAGGCCUUGGGGUCCCCGGCUUUGGAUAUUCCUUCAUGUGAAGGACGACCACAUUCGGUAUUAAUUCCGCUUUCGCGAGAGCUAUCCCCAACUUGAGGGCAGAUUACCCGCGUGUUACUCACCCUUUCGCCACUGUCCCC
rnacentral:rRNA from 1 species